rnacentral:rRNA from 1 species
UACGGGGGGGGCAAGCGUUGUUCGGAAUCACUGGGCUUAAAGGGCGCGUAGGCGGGCUCGCAAGUCUGUGGUGAAAGCCUCCAGCUUAACUGGAGAAGUGCCAUGGAUACUGCGCAUCUUGAGGAGGGUAGGGGCGUCUGGAACGGUCGGUGGAGCGGUGAAAUGCGUUGAUAUCGACCGGAACUCCGGUGGCGAAGGCGAGGCGCUGGACCCUUUCUGACGCUGAGGCGCGAAAGCCAGGGGAGCAAACGGG